CAAAAUCCGUUUAGACAAUGCUAGGAUGUGAUGGGGAAGCCCUUCGGGGCGAAGUAGCUGAUUUCACACUGUCAAGAAAAGCUUCUAUCGAGUUUAAAGGCGCCCGUACCGUAAACCGACACAGGUGGGUGAGGAGAGUAUCCUAAGGCCAGCGAGAAAACUAUUGUUAAGGAACUCGGCAAAAUGACCCCGUAACUUAGGGAGAAGGGGUGCCUGUCUAUGACAGGCCGCAGAGAAUAGGCCCAAGCGACUGUUUACCAAAAACACAGGUUUCUGCUAAGUCGUAAGACGAUGUAUAGGAGCUGACGCCUGCCCGGUGCUGGAAGGUUAAGGGGAUCUGUUAGAGCAAUCGAAGCAGUGAACUUAAGCCCCAGUAAACGGCGGCCGUAACAAUAACGGUCCUAAGGUAGCGAAAUUCCUUGUCGGGUAAGUUCCGACCCGCACGAAAGGCGUAACGAUUUGGGCACUGUCUCAACAAUAGACUCGGUGAAAUUGUAAUCCCGGUGAAGAUGCCGGGUACCUGCGACAGGACGGAAAGACCCCAUGGAGCUUUACUGUAGCUUGACGUUGGGUCUUGGUACUACAUGUACAGGAUAGGUGGGAGACUAUGAAGCAUGGACGCCAGUCUGUGUGGAGUCAUCCUUGGGAUACCACCCUUGUAGUACUGGGAUCCUAACCAUAGGCCUUGAAUCAGGUCUUGGAACACCGUCAGGUGGGCAGUUUGACUGGGGCGGUCGCCUCCUAAAAAGUAACGGAGGCGCUCAAAGGUUUCCUCAGCACGGUCGGAAAUCGUGCGAAGAGUGUAAAGGCAAAAGGAAGCUUGAUUGCAAGACAUACAGGUCGAGCAAGGACGAAAGUCGGACUUAGUGAUCCGGUGGUACCGCAUGGAAGGGCCAUCGCUCAACGGAUAAAAGCUACCCUGGGGAUAACAGGCUUAUCUCCCCCAAGAGUCCACAUCGACGGGGAGGUUUGGCACCUCGAUGUCGGCUCAUCACAUCCUGGGGCUGUAGUAGGUCCCAAGGGUUGGGCUGUUCGCCCAUUAAAGUGGUACGCGAGCUGGGUUCAGAACGUCGUGAGACAGUUCGGUCCCUAUCCGUCGCAGGCGUAGGAAAUUUGAGAAGACCUGUCCUUAGUACGAGAGGACCGGGAUGGACGUACCUCUGGUGUACCAGUUGUUCUGCCAAGGGCAUGGCUGGGUAGCUAUGUACGGAAUGGAUAAGCGCUGAAAGCAUCUAAGCGCGAAGCCAACUUCAAGAUAAGAUUUCCCACCGUAAGGGUAAGACCCCAGGAAGACUACCUGGUUGAUAGGUCGAAGGUGUAAGUGCAGUAAUGUAUUUAGCUUAUUGAUACUAAUAGGUCGAGGACUUGACC
rnacentral:rRNA from 1 species